ACCUCUGCCUCUCCCCCCUAACAGCUUCCCCACACAAGGCCACUUCCCCUCUGCCUCUCUCCCUCUCGGCCGCUCCCUCUUCUCUAGCCAUAACCGCCGCUGGAACCUUCCCCUCUCUCGGCCGCUCACUCCCCUGCUCCCAGCACAUUCCUUCUUCUUCUGGCUCUCUCGGCCGACCCAGCUCCAGUAGCGAGACCCACGAACAACAGCAGCGAAGGAAGACCAUCAACGCCGGCCUCCAGCGAGCACCACAACAGCAGUAGCUCCUCCCCACAACAGCCGGCCACGACAGCUUCUCCUCCAAUCUCCAUGCCCGGCCACAUAUCCACCAUCAGCCAGCAGCGCCGUCCGAAGCAGAGGAGAAGGAGAUGAAAUCCAUAGCAGCAGACCCGAACGGGACAGAUCCGGGAGAAGAACCCGAGAGCAGAUCUAAAAAACAACAAAGAAAAACGACUAAAAUCAACUGUCUGUAUUGCGUUUUUGGUUGAUUUUGCAGGUCACCAUCGGCAGAGAAGAGAAAAGGAGAAAGCAGGGCAGAUCCGCCCAUUUCCGGCACUGUCAGCGGCGGCGCGUGAAGCCACGCGCCGCCAUUGUUCCAGAACUGUUCAGGCAAUUCCAGAAGUGUCCCUCUGCAAUUUCUGGAGUUUAGGGACUAUUUUGUAAUUUUUAAAUUAUGUAAUGUAAUUUUUGUUUAGUGUUUAAAUUUUUUAUAAUUUUGUAAUGUGAUGUACACAAAGAAAAGAAAAGAAAGAGAAAAUAAUAAUAGAAAAAGAGAUGUGUGUGUGUUUGUGUAUUUUUUUUAUGUAUGUUAUUGAAUAAAAAAAAAUGAAUUUAAUAUUUUAAUUUAUAUGCACAAAUAUCUAAAGGACAGAUAAAAUCAUGUUGUAUUUUCCAUGAAAAUGUAGAACAUGUAUCUACAUAUAUUUUGGGAACUAAUAACUGAUUUAUCAAAGCUUUAGAA
rnacentral:lncRNA from 1 species